AGGUUGAUCUAUUGUCCCUCCUUGUC
rnacentral:piRNA from 1 species